GAAUGGAGCACUGUUCUGCUGAGAGAUAGAUGGGCUGGCUCCAUCUAGCUUGAAACAUUGCUGGUUUGAUCUUCUAAGGCAGAGGUGGGCACUGAGGGCCGCAUUCCUGCAUGUUUUCCAGCAUACCCUGCUCUGGCAUGUUCUAAUUGGCUGGACACACCUGAACCAGGUAAUCAGCCAUGAGUAGGGCAAGACUAUCUGGAAAUCAUGCAGACACACCGGUUCUCGAGGCCUGGAAUUGCCCACCCCUGUUCUAAGGGUAUUUUAUGUGAGUCUGAAUUUGCAUCAAAAUGUUAUGAGGAACUGCAGGACUGCCUGCUGCUGCUGGGAGCCUCUGGCAGCGACCCUGACAGCACAGGGUUAAUAACAAAGAGACAGACCUUCCUGAAAGUCACAUGAUCUGUUCCAGGCAGGAUGAGGAGGAAGGUUGGGAGGGAGGGAGAGAGAGAGGGAGUGGGUGGGUGCUGAGGACCAGGGAGGAGGAGUCCGGAGCAUGUUGCCGUAGCAACAGAAAUCUCUGAAGGGCCGGUGUGAAGUCAGAGGCAAAAUAUUAGCUGGUGACUGCACUUUGAAGCUGGCGCUGCCGUGAGGUUGGGCGGCUUGAUGGGAGGGAUUGGUGGGGGCGAGGGGGUGACUCAUGCUGAACGACACGCUCUGCAUUCUAAUGGAUACUCGCCGUUUCGCUUUCACACCUUCAUCAUUACCUUAAGUACACUCCACUUAAAAAUUGCCUUCUCUUCUCCUUCACAGCAUGGGUCAGGAUGAACUUCAACAACUUCUCCUCUGAGCAAAUCAUCAACUAAUAAAGCCAUUGCAGAAGCCUUUACAGUGAGUUUGGUGAUUUUGCUGGAUGGUGUUGAUAAAGACGAUCUAUGAUAGUACAAGCAAAGAAACAACAGCCAUGGAAUCCAUGAUGUCAUAAAUGCAUGGAUCGACGGCCUGGGUUCAUUUCCCAUCACGGCUGUGUGGACUACUGGAAGCGACGGGGGAGGAUCACGGGCCCUGUGACGUUCCUGAGUCAUCACGCACAACAACAUCUCAAGGUUUACAGGGAGCCAAUGGAGAACAGGCUGACGUUAUGACACAAUGCCGAUUGGUCAAACAAAGCAGUCGCUCGACUUUUUUUAUUCCCAGGUCUGUAUAAUGCACUCAGGGAUCAUGACUCAUUGCUCACAAGCAACAUUCUCAGUCUUUCCUGUGGAUUUCUCAACUUUUAUAUAAGUAAUAACUAUUUAUUCUUUUUUUGGGCAACAUUAAAACAAGAACUUGACAAAAUACGAAAUUAUUAAAA
rnacentral:lncRNA from 1 species